rnacentral:lncRNA from 1 species
CCCGGGCCGGCCCCGCCCCGCCCCGCCCUGCCUGGUGAGUCACGGCGCGAGGCGGCUGGUCGGGAAGCGCGUCAGUGCAGCGAGGGCGCUAAGUUCUGAGCCCGGCCCUCAGCCCGGCCGCUUGUCGGCUUUGGAGGACGCGCUGUUCCCUGCGGCCGCGGUUGCCUACGCGCGCCGCUGUCGUACCGCUCGUCCCGGCGCCCCGCAGAACCGGUUCCGCGCCUAGCAGGGCGCGCGGGUUCCGCCCGGCCGACAGGAGGCGCCCUUUGGCGCAGCCUGUGGAACUGCGACCGCCCCGCGCCCGGCGGACAAGAUGGCGGCGCCGCUGAGAGCAGCGAAGUGGCUGCGGCUGGCGGGUGGCGGGCCCGGCCUCGGUGAGCGGCGGCAGCGGGCCGAUGGGGUGUCUGUUGUAGCCGCUUAAGAGCCCUUCCGUUGCUCGUGACCGUUACGUGUGAGCGUGUACCGGCGGGGCUUCACUGUGACCCGUGCCCUGCAGGUGUACCCGUCAGCUCCGCGGCCGGAGCUCCAGCAGCCCGCGCUUUGACUCGUUCUGCAUUUUUUGCAAGAAAGCGUACUUACGACCAACCGAACUGGUUUGGAGUUGGGCUGGCUUUCACCACCAGUGCUGCCCUGUGGGCUUUUCUUUUCAAGCAGCAUAAUGAAGAUGUAAUGGAAUAUGAAAGAAGAAAACAAGAGAGGCACCAUAAGUGUACAGGUUGUUCAUAGUUGACCAAAUGUUUGAUGAGAAAUACCGUCCUGUGAAUUAAGGAGUACGGCGGACCUAUCUGAAAGUAUUUAAACCUUAUCUGUUCAUACAUUUCACAUGCAAGCCUAUGAAAUAAAGUGUGAAAGAAGCUUCUGAAGACUUCUCUUGCCGUUUGUAUUUUAUCCCACCGGCUUUCGUAAAUUGUUUUCUGAUUGCAUUUACGUAUUUCAUAGUUCUGAAAGUAAUGUUGAUAAAGUGCACGGUUUUCUGGAAUGUGUAUUACAAAGUCGAGCAUCAGUUAAGAGACAGCCCAGGAGGCAGCUGGAAAGGAGCUGCUUGUUGAAGGGCAGCAUCUCAUGGAUAGUGCCGUGACUUUGCAGUGGUUCUGAAAGGCAGCGCCGGGUGAGUGCUUGCAGGGCUGUGCUCCGGGUGUCACAGAGGAGAGGCAGGAGCGGGCUCAGCCGGAGGCGUGCUGGCUGUCAUUGCUCUGUGUUCUAACGCUGUCUCGCUGUUCCCCUGGUGAGACGAACAGCUGCUGUUCCUGCUGCCUUCUGAGUGCUCAGCCCUACGCUUGCUGUAAGUCAAGGUCAGGCAAGGACAAAGGGAAUAAAAACGGAGUAGUGACAACGGCGCUGCCUGCCUGUGUGGGAG